rnacentral:rRNA from 1 species
UUCCUCUUAAAAAAGGAGGUAAGGCCUGCUCCCUGAAAAUUAAAGAGCCGCAGUAUUCUGACUGUGCUAAGGUAGCAUAAUCAUUAGUCUUUUAAUUGAAGACUGGUAUGAAUGGCUAAACGAGAAAUCAACUUUUUUUGUUUCAUAAAUUGAAUUUAAUUUUUUAGUGAAAAAGCUAAAAUAUUUCAGAAAGACGAGAAGACCCUAUAGAGUUUUAUAUUUUUCGAAAUUUUUUUUUAUUAGAUUUUUCUAAAAAAAAUUUAGGGAAAGUAUUUUGUUGGGGCGACAUUAAGAUAUAAAAAACUCUUUAUUUUUAAAACUUUGAUAAAAGAAUAAUAGUUUGAUCCUUUAAAAAAGAUCAUAAGAAAAAAUUACCUUAGGGAUAACAGCGUAAUCUUUUUUGAGAGUUCUAAUCGACAAAAAGGUUUGCGACCUCGAUGUUGGACUAAAAUUUAGGCAAGGUGCAGUAGUUUUGCUUUAAGGUCUGUUCGACCUAUAAUAUUUUACACGAUCUGAGUUCAGACCG